rnacentral:snRNA from 1 species
AGCUUUGCGCAGUGGCAGUAUCGUAGCCAAUGAGGUUUAUCCGAGGCGCGAUUAUUGCUAAUUGAAAACUUUUCUCAAAUAGCGGACAAUUUAAAACCUACUGUUUAUUUCUGGAAUUUUCCAUUUAGUAUUUUUAGACUGUCGUUGAAUGCAGAUAACUGAAA